rnacentral:rRNA from 1 species
GACGAACGCUGGCGGUAUGCUUAACACAUGCAAGUCGAACGAGAAGUCUUUUAUUGAACCUUCGGGGGAUAUAAGAGACAGACAGUGGCGAACGGGUGAGUAACGCGUGGGCAACCUACCUAUCGGAGCGGGAUAGCCUCGAGAAAUCGGGAGUAAAACCGCAUAACACGGAUAUAUCGCAUGAUGAAUCCGUCAAAACUCCGGUGCCGAUAGAUGGGCCCGCGUCUGAUUAGCUAGUUGGUAAGGUAAGGGCUUACCAAGGCAACGAUCAGUAGCCGGUCUGAGAGGGCGAACGGCCACACUGGAACUGAGACACGGUCCAGACUCCUACGGGAGGCAGCAGUGGGGAAUAUUGCGCAAUGGGGGCAACCCUGACGCAGCAAUACCGCGUGAGUGAAGAAGGUUUUCGGAUCGUAAAGCUCUGUUAUUGGGGAAGAAGCAGUGACGGUACCCAAUGAGGAAGUCCCGGCUAACUACGUG